rnacentral:rRNA from 1 species
UACGUAGGGGGCAAGCGUUAUUCGGAUUCACUGGGCGUAAAGGGUGCGCAGGCGGCCGUGUGUGUGAGGCGUGAAAGCCCGGGGCUCAACCCCGGAAUUGCACCUCAAACUACAUGGCUAGAGCAUUGGAGAGGGUAGCGGAAUUCACGGUGUAGCAGUGAAAUGCGUAGAUAUCGUGAGGAACACCAGAGGCGAAGGCGGCUACCUGGACAAUUGCUGACGCUCAGGCACGAAAGCGUGGGGAGCAAAAGGG